AAAGCUUUGGUCCUAAGCUUACCAUUGGUUUUUUUCAAGAUUAUACAUGCAAGUUUCAACGUACCAGUGAGAAUGCCCACAAACCCCAAAAAGAAGUAUUGGAGCGGACAUCAGGCACAACUAUUAGCCCAUGACGUCUUGUCUUUACCACACCCUCACGGGCUUCCAGCAGUAAUAAACAUUGGACAAUAAACGAAAGCUUGAUCCAACUAUGAAAAUAAGAGUUGGUUAAUUUCGUGCCAGCCACCGCGGUUACACGAAAAACCCAAAUCAAUGGCUUAACGGCGUAAAUUGUGACUAGAGAUCUCUUAUGCAAUAAUAUUAAAACUUUUAACUAGUUGUAAAAUACUUAAACCAAAAGGAAACCCACACAAAUAUUUUAGCAUUAAACCCUUGAUCACACGAAAGCUUAGAAACAAACUAGGAUUAGAUACCCUACUAUGCUAAGCCAUAAACAUUGAUGGCACCCUCACCAAGCCUUCCGCCAGAAUACUACAAGUGAAAAACUUAAAACUCAAAGGACUUGGCGGUGUCCCACCUCGACCUAGAGGAGCCUGUCCUGUAAUCGAUACUCCCCGCUCCACCCAACCUCUACUAGCAUUAUUCAGCCUAUAUACCGCCGUCGACAGUCUACCCCAUGAGGGUCUAAUAGUAGACAAAAUAGCAACCCAUGUCGCUAAUACGUCAGGUCAAGGUGUAGCAAAUGUUGAGGAAGUGAUUGGCUACAUUUUUUAUUUUAAAAUAUACGAAAUACAACAUGAAAUCAUGUACAAAGGUGAAUUUAGCAGUAAAAUAGGCAAGAAUGCCUACUUUAAUAUCGCUCUGGGACGCGCACACACCGCCCGUCACCCUCCUCACUAAUUCUCCUUAUAUAUAUAAAACCACGUAUAAUAAUUAGAGGAGGUAAGUCGUAACAUGGUAAGCGUACUGGAAAGUGCGCUUGGACUUUC
rnacentral:ncRNA from 1 species